rnacentral:lncRNA from 1 species
UAUCUCAAUGAUAGGUUUUCAACACAAAAGGAGACUGGGACCUGUGGCAAGAUGCUGCUGUGCCACUAAUAAGUUAUGCCAUAGUACCAAGGAUCCUGAGAUUUGAGAUGACUUGGAAACAGGGAGAAGAAAGCUACAACAGCGAGCUGUGGGAUGUAGGUCUUCAAGCAGAUUAAUCUUCAUGGUGAAUGUGCAGCAGAACGGUGUUGCUCAGUGGUGACAGCACAGAGCCAAUUUUAUCAAGUGGUCACAGAAGCCUUAUCCAGAUGAAUGUUAGAAGGCACUGUCUGCAGGCUGUGAACUGGAUGUUAGCCUGACAGGGAAGUAGUCGUCUUUCAAGUGUGAGGGAAGAUUAUUUGAAAGUGAAAAGCAUGCACAACUGGUUUAAUACAUCUGCGAAGUCAGUAUCCCAGUGGCGAUAAGUUGUCAAAGACCUGAGAACACAGUGCCCAAGCAGAAGUCAUCAGCCUUGGGAAACAUAUAGUCUACUUUCAGAUAGAUUGUGGAAGCAGAAAUUACAAACAGUGGGUGCUGUAACUGAGCCCUGAAGAUAACUGAGCUGAAAUUUCCAAGAACCAGCUUUGUGGACAAGUGCACUCAGGAACAGCAGUGUGUAAAAGUUUCCACGGUAAUGAGCAGUGUGGGGAGUAUUCUAGACUGCUUCCGGAACAGAUUGCUGGCCCUCACUGACUUACUUGACACGGCCAUUUAUUGUCCACAAUUGCAUUUGUAGCUCAGAUUCCUACCCUCGAGAGAGAGACUGCAGGAAUGUAGGUUCAAUUCUUACGCAUCCAGCAUUGGCAGUGAAGGUGGAAUGGAGAGCAACUAACAAACUUGCUAUCCAGCCUUUCUUAGCAAUCAUUAAAGUGUCAGUUCUUGCUAUUUUUUCAUAGCUGCAGGCAGGAACGUUACUGCUAAUUUUCAGCUCCCUGCUAACACUUAAAUUAAGACUCUAGAGAGACUUGGUUGGUUUUUUAGCGCCUGAGUAGUCAUUUGACAACUUGCGAAGUAGCAGAUGAAUACUGGUGAGGUUGAGAACUAGGUGUUGUCCAAGGGUAAAUAUGUGUGGCAGGGAAAAUUCACAACAAAAAUAGGCUGUACUGACCUGGGAAUGAGGAUACUUGAAAUAGAAUUGCUGAAGGCAAGCCUGUUUUCAGAGUGUAAAGACCAAACCAAGUUCCUUCGCCUUGCUGAUGUAUUUGUAUGAACUUGAUGUGACCUUGGAAGAGCAGGGUGCUUGAAAAACCAAGGAUCAAGAGAGUAAGGGUUGAGGCUGGGGAUUUAACAGCUUAAACAGAAGUCAGAAUAGGCUUUAGGCACUAUUUUAACCUGGUAUAACAUGCAGCAUGAAUGCCAUGAUGGUAUUUAAGUCAGACCAAAGGAUGCUAGUUUCCAGCUUCAUUUUAAUAUGAAUUACUGUGCAAGAAUGUUGUGAUUGCUUGUGCCCAUCAUUUGCACCAAUUCAAAAGUUCUGUUAUGAGAAAGAAAGAAUUGAUUAACCUGAUUUUCCGGAAGUCCUGAUAAACAACAAUCAGUAACUCAGGUAAAUGGCACUAGGAAGUUAGCUGCUCUCUCCAUGUGAAGAUAUUCCACUGAUGUUGCAGCUUUAUGUGCACAGUUUUCUUAGAACUUUGGAUAAAGUCAUAAAUGGAAGGGCUGAUCAAAACUUCACAAAUAGGGCUUAAUAACAUAAUAACUACAUGCAAAUGUAUUUUAUUUCUUUCACUGUUACAUGAUAGUGUUCUGGACACAUUUUAUUGAAAAUGCAAUAAAAAUCCACAGUGUAAAAAGUUUAGUAUCUAAAGAAACUCAUUAAAUAAAGGCUGGUUAUAUUGGUGAUACUAAUGGCUCUGUAUAUAUGACUAUGAAUGCAAUUAAGAAUUUCUAAUCAUUCUAAUUUCUGAUUCAGAAGCCAAAAAAAAUCAUAAAACUAGAUAAUUCUACUACUUUUCAUGUAUCUGGGAUUAAAAAAAAUACUGAAUAUCUAAAAAAGGAAUCUUUGAAAGUUUAGCUGUUAUUUUUCUAUUUAAAAUAAAUUUGAAAAUUUAUUCAACAGAUUCCUGUAGGACAUGAGUCAGGUUUUGCUUUGUCUUGGGCAAGAAAACAUAAUUUUGGCAAUAUCUUGUGAGUUUGCACAAUGAAACACUGAACUAAAUGCAGGGCUCAUUUUAUUCAAGUGAAGAUCUGGAUCAUUUAAUCAUAACUGCCUGCCAAAAUAAUUUAUAAAUGGCUAAGCAGUCUCUGACAGGGAAUGGUUACUUUUUUUUCUUUUUUUUUUUAAGAAAGCACUAAUAUGGAAUUGUUGUAGGCAAUUUCCAUUUUAUUCUUCUUCCUAAAUGAAGCUGCAGUUACUUACCUCAAAGCUGAACAUAGGCUCCAAGCUCAAAUAUUUAAGAGCACGAGGGAGAAACUUAAGCUAAUUCUGUGUCUCUAAUCUGCAAUGCAUGACUCCAGUGUUUCUUGGCUCAUUGCUGCAAGUUAAAAAUAGAAGCACCGCUCUAAAGCACGUUGGCUUAUAAAUUUGACUCAAAUACCCACUUGGCUCCCUGUUUUCCUGGUGAUGAUUGUGUAGAAUAUAGUCCCCUUUGGCCUCUUUUGCUGCUCCAAAUGCUCCCUUGCAGGGCUGGUGUGACAGCUGCAAAAACAGAUGCCAAACUCUACAUGAUACCGUAUUUUUCUGUGUAUAAUCCUAAGUAGUUUGUGUUAAACAAAGCCAUCCUGCCACUGCACACCCAGAGCAUUUCCUCUGAUUCAGCAGCAAAAGAGCAUUAUUUAUGAUAAUAUGAUGAGAGGUUUACCUCUUUGCUCCUAAUACCUCGUUCCUAAUCAUAUAGCAGAGCUUUUUGUUUGCUCGCUCCUUUCCAGUGGGGAGAGGAAGAAAAAAAAAAAAACUGUGGUUUGAGAUACAGUUUAAUAGGAGAGAAAAUGAAGGGAAAAUAAUAAUUGUAUAUUCUUUAUUAUCAUUGCUCACCACCAGUCAACUGAUGCCCAUCCAGUCCUCCAGCAGAGGUGGCCUCCCUGGCCAACUUCCCCACUUCUAUUGUUCCACAUGACAGCAUAUGGUACGAGGUUCCAUUUGUCAGUAAACUUUGGCCAGUUUGGGUCAGCUGUCCUGGUUUCCUCUCCCCCCAACUCCUUGGGCAGGAAAGCUUGAGAAGCAGAAAAGUCCUUGGCUUUGUGUUAAGCACUGCUCAGCAAUAAUCAGUGUGUUUUCACCAUUUUUUUCCUCAUUCUAAAUCCAAAACGCAGACCAUACCAGAUACUAGGAAGAAAAUUAAUUCUAUCCCAGCUGAAAUCAGGACAAGUAUUUAGGAGGUACCUGCUACUGUGAAAAUGAGUUACAUAGCAUACCUACUGAUGAUUUUACAUAUAUACAGUGCUUAAAGCAUAGCUAUUGUCAAGCUACAUCUUAGAAAUGGUCAUUAAUUUUAUAUUUUUUAUAUAUUGUUAUGUACAAUUUUUCUCUCAAACGUUAAGCUUGUUUUCUCAAAGAAUAAGUCUUUUCUGUUAACUCUCCACUUUCAGCAGCAGUUUCCAGAUUAGAUGCUUCCUGAGUUGCUUUUUUUUGUUCUUAAAAUAUGAAUUACAACAGUGUUCCUUCCAAGCUUUUCAAUUUGGCAAUUUCUUAAUCAAUUUUGACUUUUUUCCACUUACUG